rnacentral:rRNA from 1 species
CCCAUCCUCCAAGGCUAAAUACUCCUGACUGACCGAUAGUGAACCAGUACCGUGAGGGAAAGGCGAAAAGAACCCCGGCGAGGGGAGUGAAAAAGAACCUGAAACCGUGUACGUACAAGCAGUGGGAGCACGCUUAGGCGUGUGACUGCGUACCUUUUGUAUAAUGGGUCAGCGACUUAUAUUCUGUAGCAAGGUUAACCGAAUAGGGGAGCCGAAGGGAAACCGAGUCUUAACUGGGCGUUAAGUUGCAGGGUAUAGACCCGAAACCCGGUGAUCUAGCCAUGGGCAGGUUGAAGGUUGGGUAACACUAACUGGAGGACCGAACCGACUAAUGUUGAAAAAUUAGCGGAUGACUUGUGGCUGGGGGUGAAAGGCCAAUCAAACCGGGAGAUAGCUGGUUCUCCCCGAAAGCUAUUUAGGUAGCGCCUCGUGAAUUCAUCUCCGGGGGUAGAGCACUGUUUCGGCA